rnacentral:sRNA from 1 species
UCUUCCUUGCAGAUGGCGACGUAGUUCACCGGAGCAGCCGGCCGGCCACUGUCCCUCCGCCCGUCCCGGCUCACCGACCUGCCGCCGCCGUUCUGGUGGGCCGAGAGCCUCCGGUUCGGUGUGCCAUUGACUGCGCCACCGUUGGCCCGCGGGCCAGGCGCCUUCCUUGAGGAUUGGGGCCGGGCUGGGCUCGGUUUCGAGCCGAAGAGCUUCUCCUGCUCUGCAGCUAGCUGGUCGUUUAUCUUCUUCUGGGUACCCUCAUUCGUCGCUUCUCUUCUUCCUUCUGCUGCCUUAGUACUUUGUACUCAUCCAGCAUUGCGAGAAGAUGAACACCGUCAUAGCUGAACGGCAUACCAUGCUCUUGUUCCCAUGCCCGGGUCUUUGCCAUCAGUGUAUCAACAAUGACUACACUCGUAACAGUCACAGAUGAACCCAAAAGUCAGAUUAGGAAUAGAAUUAAUUUUCCAUGUCAUAUUAUGCCAGAUGUAGCAUAGGUCUAAGGCAGGCAGUGGAAGCUACUUUUAGAAUAUGUAAUGUAGUAUAAUCACAAGGGAAACAAAACCAAGUAAACAUUCAGGAUAUACCUGGAAUUUUACUGACCAAAAGACGAGCCUUUUCUGCCCGCUUGAGGUUCAGAUAUCAAACAAUGAAGAAGUUACAUACUGUAUACUUUUUAUUACCUGGCUAUAGUCUUCAAGCCAGCUCUCUUCUUCGCAUGCUGACAUCCACCUUUCAACCUUCUCCAGAAUGUCCUUUCUGCUUAGUGCCUCUUCUUUUGCUUUAAGUAUCUGGUUCUCCAUAUCAGCCAGUAGUUCCGAAGGCUCGAAGAUACUAGAAUCAAUAACAGUCAGUAUUCUAUCUCUUGCAGCACUGGUAUCUAUCGUAAUGUGAGCCUGGGCAUAUAUAUCUUCAAGUUCAGUCUGCCUUUUGAACGCAAUAUCCUUCAUCCUACUAGCUUUGAGCUGAUCCAGCCUUUCAACUUCAAGUUCAGCCUUUGGAGCGCAAAACAUAGCUCCUGGUGCUGUUACUUCAUCCAAUGUUGAGGAAAUGUUGCAUGUGACAUGGUCAAAAAGUUGUCGCUCAUCAGCAGAGGUGUCCAUUAGGUUCCAAAGAUCAGUUAGCUGGGAAGCUAGAGCUUGAAUCUUUUCAAGUCUCUUUGAUUUCUCUUCUUUAAGUUGAAUUACCAUCUUAGACAGCUUGGAUAAUGUUGCGUCACUAAUGCUCUUGAACUCGGCACCAACCGAGUCAUUGAGACUAGGAUGAACUUCAGUAACAGUGCUCAGGAAAUCCAUCCCAAGGACAGAACAGAGAUCAUGCACUGAACUCACGAAGUCAAGAAUCUUGUGCAGUCUAUUGCUCUGCAAUGCAAGAAAAUGGAAAGAAAUACGAUUUCAAGUCAAUAAAUUUUAAAUAGUCGAAAAUGUGUGUAUAAUGCAAAGAUUAUCAUCAGCUAUAUCAGUGGCCGUAUGCCUGCUUCUGUGGUACUAAUAUGGUACGUCAAAAUUUAGAGAUCAUCCAUCAUAGGGAUGUUUGAUGUUAUACAAUGCUUAUCAAGAGAAUUUGACCAGCAGAUAUUAUGUGAAAUUAUUAUUUAUUAUGCAAAACAAAGAAUCUCUUUAGCAUGGUUGGGCUAUGAAAUUUGGAAGAUUAUUCCAUAAGCAGGUCCAGAAAAAGGCAGUUGGCAGAUUGUGAAAAUGAAAAACAAAGUGCCAACCUUUUCCUUUUGUAGAGCUUGCAAUUCAGAAAGAAAUUCAUUUAAUUUCUUCGUUGAAAGAUCAUCCUCAUUAACACGGGGUGUUUCCAUGUGGUCACCAACUUGCAGACUCCCAGCGAUUUCACCACGUAUAGUUUGAAUUUGAAGUUGUACACCAGCAAACUCUCUAACCCUCUUAUCUUUUUCCCUGCAGAGUUUCUCCAAGAAAGGUGAUAUUGCUUCUAGUUGCUCCUUGAUAGUACCGGUUGUCUUGUCAGGCUGCAAAAGUCAGCAAAAUAGACAGCUCGCCUAGUGCACAAAGGAGUCUAGAAAGCUCAGACUUGGCGUUAGCAAGCUGUUGAAGGAGGCGUGCCCUGGAAUUAGAUGCCUGAUCAACCUUUCUCCUGUAAACAUCCAAGCAUUCUUGUUCUAGCUGAAGUAACAUCUUGUCACGGUCUUCAUCGCUUUCACCAACCUCAUCCCAUAUCAACUGAAAUGACACUACAAAGAUCCACAUGUCGUUUCACCUAUCAAAGGAUCAUUGUGCCCUGCCACUCCCAUUCUAGCUCAACAACCUG